rnacentral:rRNA from 1 species
GACGAACGCUGGCGGCGUGCUUAACACAUGCAAGUCGAACGGAAAGGCCCUGCUUUUGUGGGGUGCUCGAGUGGCGAACGGGUGAGUAACACGUGAGUAACCUGCCCUUGACUUUGGGAUAACUUCAGGAAACUGGGGCUAAUACCGGAUAGGAGCUCCUGCUGCAUGGUGGGGGUUGGAAAGUUUCGGCGGUUGGGGAUGGACUCGCGGCUUAUCAGCUUGUUGGUGGGGUAGUGGCUUACCAAGGCUUUGACGGGUAGCCGGCCUGAGAGGGUGACCGGCCACAUUGGGACUGAGAUACGGCCCAGCCUCCUACGGGAGGCAGCAGUGGGGAAUAUUGCACAAUGGGCGGAAGCCUGAUGCAGCAACGCCGCGUGCGGGAUGACGGCCUUCGGGUUGUAAACCGCUUUCGCCUGUGACGAAGCGUGCGUGACGGUAAUGGGUAAAGAAGCACCGGCUAACUACGUG